rnacentral:sRNA from 1 species
AAAAUAUUUUCUAUUUGGAGGUUUUUAGUUGAAUUUAGAGGUUUUUUGAGAUUUUUCAGAGAUCUAAAUAUCUUUUAACCGUAUUCUACUCUUACACAUUCUAUUUUGUAAUAAAAUUUAACUAUUUAUUUCAGAAUAAUAAUAUGGAUUUUAGUUCUACACACUUCAUCAGUUUUAAAAGAUGAGAGCAAAACAAAACACUAAAUAAAUAAAAAGAAAAUUAUAUUUACACGUGUCAAAAUCUGAGAUCGAUAAAUUUAACUCGUGGCACGACCCUGUGAGUUACUAACUUUGAAAACCAUAGCAUAGUUUUCAAAGUUAGUAACUCAUAAGAUCGUGACACGUGGUAAAUCUAUUGAUUUUAGAUUUUGAUAUGUGUAAAAC